UACAGAGGUGGCAAGCGUUGUUCGGAAUUACUGGGCGUAAAGGGCGAGUAGGCGGCCUUCUAAGUCAGACGUGAAAUCCCCCGGCUUAACCUGGGAACUGCGUCUGAUACUGGGGGGCUAGAGUAUGGGAGAGGAAGGUAGAAUUCCAGGUGUAGCGGUGAAAUGCGUAGAUAUCUGGAGGAAUACCGGUGGCGAAGGCGGCCUUCUGGACCAUAACUGACGCUGAUCCGCGAAAGCUAGGGGAGCAAACGGG
rnacentral:rRNA from 1 species